rnacentral:rRNA from 1 species
CCUACGGGAGGCUGCAGUGAGGAAUAUUGGUCAAUGGGCGCGAGCCUGAACCAGCCAAGUAGCGUGAAGGAUGACUGCCCUACGGGUUGUAGACUUCUUUUAUAAAGGAAUAAAGUGAGGCACGUGUGCCUUUCUGUAUGUACUUUAUGAAUAAGGAUCGGCUAACUCCGUGCCAGCAGCCGCGGUAAUACGGAGGAUCCGAGCGUUAUCCGGAUUUAUUGGGUUUAAAGGGAGCGUAGAUGGGUUGUUAAGUCAGUUGUGAAAGUGUGCGGCUCAACCGUAAAAUUGCAAUUGAUACUGGCAGCCGUGAGUACAGUUGAGGCAGGCGGAAUUCGUGGUGUAGCGGUGAAAUGCUUAGAUAUCACGAAGAACUCCGAUUGCGAAGGCAGCGUACUAAACUGCCACUGACAUUGAUGCUCGAAAGUGUGGGUAUCAAACAGGAUCAGAUACCCUUGUAGUC